AAAGCCAUUUAAUUUUAAACACCAAGACUUGAAUUUAUUUUAAAGCCGACACUACCUAAUUUCGAUCGGGAAAUAUUACGACUCGUUAUUUCAUACGAAACGAGCUCGUAUCAGUUGGUAUCAAAGCUGGUUAAUUUAUGUACGUAAAUUGUAGUUUUUGAAAAAAAUCAAAAAAAAUCGAAAAGAAAAAAAUUGAAAAAAAAUAUUGCAUACGGUCUAGGUGCGGACGAAAAGACGUGAAAGAUCCGUAAAAAAAAAAAAGAGUCUGGAAACACUUCAACAAAAAUUUUCCCAAAAUCACUUUCUACACUCCUUUAUAUCCAUCUUAGUGAAAUUUCACGCUAUUUAAAAAAAAAUUUAUAUAUACGCCACAUCUUCAAACCAUUCUUUUCUUUCGAGCCUACCUAAACCAUAUCAUAUUCCUUUGUUUAGGCCCUUGAAGCCGAC
rnacentral:lncRNA from 1 species